GCGCGCGCCCUCGGAGCCGUGCUUGCGCCUGGCGCGCCCCUGGGCCUGCCGUCAGGCAGCCUCUCGAAGGUUGGCGGUCCACGAUAAUCAGCGAGAGCUCUCGGGCCCCAGAUAUGCUGCCGCCAUCGUUCUCAGUAAUUUACCAUCUAUCAUUCCCUUCAAUGUGUGUAAUUCCCAAGUGGGGAAAGGAAAGGGCCCAGACUCUGGACAGGUGUGGACGACUCUGGGCAGAUUUGCCUAUGGUUUUGCUGUAGCUCGUGUGUCUGGUAUCGCAAUUGUCUGCUAUUCCUGAAUGAAGCCAUCUUUUUUCCUUGGUCACUACCCUGGACAUUUUCCAUGCCAAAUAGACAUUCAACUCAGGUGUGGCUAAUUCCCAAACAAGACUUCUUCAUGAAAGAUUCAUGGCCGAAAUGGAAUUAAAUAGGACAUUAAUACGUGCUCAAAGAAAAGAAUCCAUUUUCCAGACUUCUGUGCAGCCCAAAAUGACCUACCUGAUGGAAUAUUUGCUAAAUCCAGCCCCCCAAAAAGUGUAUUUUAAAAGGAAAAAUGAUGCAGGUGCCUGGCUGACUCAGUUGGUGGAACGUGCAACUCUUGGUCUCAGAGUUGUGAAUUUAAGCCCCAUUUUGGGCGUAGAGCUCACUUAAAAAAAUAAAUAAGUAAAAGGACAAAUGAUGGUAUUACCUCUAUAAUACCUUGCUUUAAAGAAAUUUAAGGUGUUCUGCAUAUGUUCUUGUCUUAUCCUGAGCAACAUUAGGAAGAGGCUUGGAUGCAGAAACCUGUUGCUAUUAUCUGCUUUCAGCAUCUCCCAAAGGCAUCUUUUCCACUCUAGUUAAAUAUUGAGAGGGGAUCCCUGGGUGGCUCAGCGGUUUGGCACCUGCCUUUGGCCCAGGGCGGGAUCCAGGAGUCCCGGGAUGGAGUCCCAUGUCGGGCUCCCGGUGCAUGGAGCCUGCUUCUCCC